UUUUAAAUGGCCGCAGUAUUUUGACUGUGCAAAGGUAGCAUAAUCAUUAGUUUUUUAAUUAAAAGCUUGUAUGAAAGGCUGGACGAGGUAAAAUCUGUCUCUAUUUAAAUUAUAGUAGAAUUUAACUUUUAAGUCAAAAGGCUUAAAUGUUAUUAAAAGACGAGAAGACCCUAUAGAUCUUUAUAGUUUAUUAAAUUAAAUUAAUUUAGAAAUGUUAAUGUUUUAUUUAAUUAAGUUAUUUUAUUGGGGUAAUAAAAAGAUUGAAUUAAUUCUUUUUUAUAAUAAACAUUAAUUUAUGAAUAUUAAUGAUCCAGUUUUACUGAUUAUAAGAUUAAGUUACCUUAGGGAUAACAGCGUAAUUUUUUUAGAGAGUUCAUAUCGAUAAAAAAGUUUGCGACCUCGAUGUUGGAUUAAAGAUUAUUUUAGGUGUAGAAGCUUAAUAAUUUUGGUCUGUUCGACCAUUAAAUCUUUACAUGAUCUGAGUUCAGACCGGCGUAAGCCAGGUCGGUUUCUAUCUUUAAUAAAACAAAAUAUUUUAGUACGAAAGGACCAAAUAUUUGAUAUAUUUAUAUUUAAYUCAUUGAAUAUUA
rnacentral:rRNA from 1 species